rnacentral:rRNA from 1 species
CAGUCGCCGCGGUAAUACGUAGGUCCCGAGCGUUGUCCGGAUUUAUUGGGCGUAAAGCGAGCGCAGGCGGUUAGAUAAGUCUGAAGUUAAAGGCUGUGGCUUAACCAUAGUACGCUUUGGAAACUGUUUAACUUGAGUGCAGAAGGGGAGAGUGGAAUUCCAUGUGUAGCGGUGAAAUGCGUAGAUAUAUGGAGGAACACCGGUGGCGAAAGCGGCUCUCUGGUCUGUAACUGACGCUGAGGCUCGAAAGCGUGGGGAGCAAACAGGAUUAGAUACCCGGGUAGUCCCUGUCUCUUAUACA